rnacentral:rRNA from 1 species
UGGGGAAUCUUGCGCAAUGCGCGAAAGCGUGACGCAGCAACGCCGCGUGGGGGAAGACGGCUUUCGGGUUGUAAACCCCUUUCAGUUGGGACGAAGCUUCGCCGGUGAAUAGCCGGCCGGAGUGACGGUACCUUCACAAGAAGCACCGGCUAACUACGUGCCAGCAGCCGCGGUAAUACGUAGGGUGCAAGCGUUGUCCGGAAUUAUUGGGCGUAAAGAGCGUGUAGGCGGCUUGAUAAGUCUGCUGUGAAAGUCCAGGGCUCAACCCUGGAAAGCCGGUGGAUACUGUCGAGCUAGAGUCCGGAAGGGGCGAGUGGAAUUCCUGGUGUAGCGGUGAAAUGCGCAGAUAUCAGGAGGAACACCAAUGGCGAAGGCAGCUCGCUGGGACGUGACUGACGCUGAGACGCGAAAGCGUGGGGAGCAAACAGGAUUAGAUACCCGUGUAGUCC